rnacentral:tRNA from 1 species
CGCGCCAUAGCUCAGUUGGUUAGAGCACUCCCCUCAUAAGGGAUAGGUCGCAAGUUCGAAGCUUGUUGGCGCGACCA